GGUUCUCUUAUUGCUUCCUGUGGGUUAGAUGUUCUUCUCCAACUAAGGAGUUGGCAAGUUGAAUGCAGGGACUGAGCAUCACCACGCCCCUUCCUCUGCUCUACCUACUAGGUCUGCACAGGCGCAAUGGCCUGGGCGGUACACCAUGAAAUCAAACUCUUGAGAUUUAUUUGAAGUGGCAGUGGCCUGAGGAAGAGUGCAUUGUGAGCUGGAGAGACCACUGCCCUGACCAGUGGGACAUGGGAACGAGAUGUCACAGGAUGGACAUGCUGGCUUUAUAGGCUCCUUGUGUGUUUGAUUCACAGCAGAGACAGUGAGGGAUGAAGAUUUUUCUCCUAAGUGUAACUUCCCGGUACCCUGUCCCCUGUGCUGUGCGCCGUGCUCCCACCCCCCUCCUUGCUUUGAGACACGGUAUGUUCUUCACACUAUAUGUGCUAAUGAGAAAGCGCUAAUGAGCUGGGCCAACAUGGAAAGGCGGCUCCCAUGGCUGGGGGCAGUCUAAGCAGCUGGGCACAUGAAGUCAACUCUCUCUAGCAGUGUGUGGGGGGGAAGGGGCUUAAUUUCCUGUGUUUUAGUUCUUUUUGUUUGUUUGUUUUGAGACAGGGUUUCUCUGUGGGUUUGGAGGCUGUCCUGGAACUAGCUCUUGUAGACCAGGCUGGUCUCAACUCAUAGAGAUCCGCCUGCCUCUGCCUCCCGAGUGGGCAUGCACCACCACCGCCUGGCCACUGUCUUAGUUCUUAAGC
rnacentral:lncRNA from 1 species